UUUAUGUGGUGUCAUCAACAAAAAGAGAGACGCGAAGAAAAAAGCUUCGGUAGAGAUUUGAUUUUUGAUCGAUUUUAACAACGAACAAGAAAAACCAUCUGCAUGAGAAAGAAGAGUUUUUUUUUGCCCAUUAAAGAAACGAUUCAACUAUAAAUUCUGGAGUCAUUCACGAUAGGUUUACCAGUCCCUCUCACAUGGCUUAUAUCAAGAACAUUGAUCCUGGUUUGACGCUGUUCCUGUUCACGGCAUCUUUGAAGCUGCUAGUGAAGGAAGACUUAACAAUUUAACAUUGAUCCUGGUCAGAUAUUGUCGGAAGUCAAGGAGUUGAAGCAUACUCAGAUGAAACAAGCUGAGAGGAUGAUUACUUUGGAGAUGGAGCUGCUUGAAUCAAGAAGGGAGAUACUUCGGCUAAAAGGGAGCAAUGGAAGUUUUUAAGCACAUGCAUGGUAAGCUCAAAUUAAGAAUAAACUCUUGAGUUUGUAAUGCUUCUCUAGCUACUUCUUGUCUUUUGAACAUAUGUGAAGAAGAAAAAAAAGGAAUAUGGAAAUGAUUUGACUCCCGAGUUUGAAAGUUACUCUAAAGGAAUACUCUUUCCUCUUU